rnacentral:rRNA from 1 species
CUAAGGUAGCGAAAUUCCUUGUCGGGUAAGUUCCGACCUGCACGAAUGGCGUAAUCAUGGCCACACUGUCUCCACCCGAGACUCAGUGAAAUUGAAAUUGCGGUUAAGAUGCCGUAUACCCGCGGCUAGACGGAAAGACCCCGUGAACCUUUACUAUAGCUUGACAGUGAACAUUGCUCCUACAUGUGUAGGAUAGGUGGGAGGCUUUGAAACCAUGUCGCUAGAUAUGGUGGAGCCAAUCUUGAAAUACCACCCUUGUAUGCGUGAUGUUCUAACCUAGGGCCCUAAUCGGGCUUGGGGACACUGUCUGGUGGGUAGUUUGACUGGGGCGGUCUCCUCCCAAAGAGUAACGGAGGAGCACGAAGGUUGGCUAAGUACGGUCGGACAUCGUACGGUUAGUGCAAUGGCAUAAGCCAGCUUAACUGCGAGACAGACACGUCGAGCAGGUACGAAAGUAGGUCAUAGUGAUCCGGUGGUUCUGUAUGGAAGGGCCAUCGCUCAACGGAUAAAAGGUACUCCGGGGAUAACAGGCUGAUACCGCCCAAGAGUUCAUAUCGACGGCGGUGUUUGGCACCUCGAUGUCGGCUCAUCACAUCCUGGGGCUGAAGUCGGUCCCAAGGGUAUGGCUGUUCGCCAUUUAAAGUGGUACGCGAGCUGGGUUUAGAACGUCGUGAGACAGUUCGGUCCCUAUCUGCCGUGGGCGUUUGAGAAUUGAAGAGGGCUGCUCCUAGUACGAGAGGACCGGAGUGGACGAACCGCUGGUGUUCGGGUUGUUAUGCCAAUAGCAUUGCCCGGUAGCUACGUUCGGAACUGAUAACCGCUGAAAGCAUCUAAGCGGGAAGCAGGCUUUGAGAUGAGUUCUCACUGGAGCUUUAAGCUCCCUAAAGGGUCGUUGGAGACUACAACGUUGAUAGGUCAGGUGUGUAAGUGCUGCGAGGCAUUGAGCUAACUGAUACUAAUUGCCCGUGAGGCUUAACCAU